rnacentral:lncRNA from 1 species
ACGUCCCCUAACGGUAGCAACUUGAGCGUCUGAUUCCUCGUUGGCCUUUUCAACAGCUGAUUUGAGUUGUGAGCUGAAUUUUUCAAAUGAAAAUCCUGUACUUAAGCCUUUUGCUUUGUCUAGUAGACUUUCAACAGAAGGAAUGGAAGGUGAUGACGCCUUCUCUUCAGGUUCCUUUGCAAUGCUAGCAGCAGCCUUUGCUUCUUUCUUUUCGAGCUUCUUUGCUUCUUGUUCCUGCCUCUUGGAUGCUUCAGCAGCUCCUCGAGCUUCUACCUCAGCUUUCGAUUUUUCAAGGGCUUCUGCAUAGGCCUUUCUCCGACCAUCCUCAGGAAUGACGCUGUGUAUAUAAUGUUUCACUCAUUUAGAUUAUAUGGCAUCCAGAACUGGUACAAAGAGGAUAAAUCUCUGUAUAUACUUAUUGUAUUGUUUUGUUGUAGUUUCUGUUCUGUUACUAUCUGUUGUUUUUGUUAUAAUUUGUUGCUUCUUGUACUUCCGUUAUUUCUUUCUUUGAACUUUUUUUUCCUUGAGCUGAUGGUUUAUCGGAAAUUGCCUCUCUACCUAUAUAAUAAGGUAGGGGUAAGUUCUGCGUACACUCUACCUUCCCUAGACGACACUAUGUUGGGACCAUAUGUUGUUGUUGUGCUGACAGAGUGAAAAGAAAUAGUUUAACCUGUUUUAUAGCAGGAACUCUUAUCUUAUUUUCCCCAUUACUAAUCCCACUUUUUAUGGACGCUUACUUGUAGCUAUCUUUUAGAUGAUCUGAUGAUUCGUUUACACUUUCAGAUUUAGUACGUAAAAGUUAAACACCUAGAGAAAUCAUUCUUACGAGCACUAGUAUCACCGAAAUUUGGAAAUGCAGCAAUUGAGGAAAAGAGGUAUUUACCUAAAAAGUUCAUCCACAGUCUUUGAUGGUGCUGAUGGAUCAGCAAAGACUUCCACAACCUGUACAAAGAAAUAAUUCCAGUGGUUGAACAUCCACAUUAUAACUAAAGAAGACCAGUAAAGGUUCACUUGCAUAAAUUCAUUUCAUUUGAACUUUUUCUUAUCUUAGUGAACUUGUCAAUUUAAAUCCGGUAAUCAACGUUUAUUGUAAUGUUAUAAUAUUGGACUAAGACGGGCUUAAUUGGAGCAACAUGAGAGUGAGACUUCAUAUAACCGACCCCAACUUGUAGUUGUUGUAAUGUUGCUUUACUUAAAAGGAGGAGCAGUCACUACCUUAUUUUCUGCCACCGCUGUGUUGGAGAAAACAUCCACAACGAGCUUAGCUAUCUGAGACUUCCCCACCUGAUGAUUGACAUAAAACACGAGAUCAUAAGUGAUGACUUAGCUUAUUUCGAUCUAUUUAACAUGUGUAGAAAGCAGAAAAAGGAACCAAUAAACCGAAGAGUAUGUCAUGUGACUAAAUCCACAAUAGAAUAUAUGAACAUGUUCAACAUUAAAAGAAAUUGCAUACAUUACAUUACUUUAUAGGCGUCAGCACCAGCACUUCCUUCAGCUGAAACAACAAUUUUGUAUGAGCUCUCAGGGGAGAAAUCCUCUGUUAAUUUGGUUUUUAUGAGUGUAUAGCUUAGAUCUGUCUCCACUAUCUUCUGCAGAAACUCUGCUAUCGUCAA